ACGAACGCUGGCGGCGUGCCUAAUACAUGCAAGUAGAACGCACAGUUUAUACCGUAGCUUGCUACACCAUAGCCUGUGAGUUGCGAACGGGUGAGUAACGCGUAGGUAACCUGCCUGGUAGCGGGGGAUAACUAUUGGAAACGAUAGCUAAUACCGCAUAAUAUUGAUUAUUGCAUGAUAAUUGAUUGAAAGAUGCUAUUGCAUCACUACCAGAUGGACCUGCGUUGUAUUAGCUAGUAGGUGAGGUAACGGCUCACCUAGGCGACGAUACAUAGCCGACCUGAGAGGGUGAUCGGCCACACUGGGACUGAGACACGGCCCAGACUCCUACGGGAGGCAGCAGUAGGGAAUCUUCGGCAAUGGACGAAAGUCUGACCGAGCAACGCCGCGUGAGUGAAGAAGGUUUUCGGAUCGUAAAGCUCUGUUGUAAGAGAAGAACGGGUGUGAGAGUGGAAAGUUCACACUGUGACGGUAUCUUACCAGAAAGGGACGGCUAACUACGUG
rnacentral:rRNA from 1 species